rnacentral:rRNA from 1 species
UAAAAAGCUUCAAACUGGGAUUAGAUACCCCACUAUGCUCAGCCAUAAACCCAGAUACUUACGUACAAUUACGUGUCCGCCAGGGUACUACAAGCAUCAGCUUAAAACCCAAGGGACCUGACGGUGCCUCAGACCCCCCUAGAGGAGCCUGUUCUAGAACCGAUAACCCCCGUUAAACCUCACCACUUCUAGUCAUCCCAGCCUAUAUACCGCCGUCGCCAGCUUACCCUGUGAAGGUAAUAAGAGUAAGCAAAAUGGGCACAACCCAGAACGUCAGGUCGAGGUGUAGCGCACGAAGUGGGAAGAAAUGGGCUACAUUUUCUAUUAUAGAACACUACGAAUACGCAACAUGAAAUAGUGCUUGAAGGAGGAUUUAGUAGUAAAAAGGAAAAAGAGUGUCCUUUUGAACCCGGCUCUGAGGCGCGUACACACCGCCCGUCACCCUCUGCAGUCAAAA